GACGAACGCUGGCGGCGUGCCUAAUACAUGCCAGUUGAGCGCUGAAGGUUGGUACUUGUACCGACUGGAUGAGCAGCGAACGGGUGAGUAACGCGUGGGGAAUCUGCCUUUGAGCGGGGGACAACAUUUGGAAACGAAUGCUAAUACCGCAUAAAAACUUUAAACACAAGUUUUAAGUUUGAAAGAUGCAAUUGCAUCACUCAAAGAUGAUCCCGCGUUGUAUUAGCUAGUUGGUGAGGUAAAGGCUCACCAAGGCGAUGAUACAUAGCCGACCUGAGAGGGGGAUCGGCCACAUUGGGACUGAGACACGGCCCAAACUCCUACGGGAGGCAGCAGUAGGGAAUCUUCGGCAAUGGACGAAAGUCUGACCGAGCAACGCCGCGUGAGUGAAGAAGGUUUUCGGAUCGUAAAACUCUGUUGGUAGAGAAGAACGUUGGUGAGAGUGGAAAGCUCAUCAAGUGACGGUAACUACACAGAAAGGGACGGCUAACUACGUG
rnacentral:rRNA from 1 species